rnacentral:rRNA from 1 species
UCUAAGUAUAACCUGCCAGACAGGGAAACUGCGUACGGCUCAUUACACCAGCCGUAAUUUACUUGACCUUGACAACCUACUUGGAUAACUGUGGUAAUUCUAGAGCUAAUACAUGCACCAAAGCUCCGAUCCUCGCGGAGAGGAGCGCAUUUGUUCGCCACAAAACCAAGCGCCCAUCUGGGCGUCCAGUGCUGAACCAGAACAACUCAGCUGAUCGCACGGUCUUGUACCGGCGACGUGUCUUUCAAGUGUCUGCCUUAUCAACUUUCGAUGGUAGUGUACCUGACUACCAUGGUUGUGACGGGUAACGGAGGAUAAGGGUUCGACUCCGGAGAAGGGGCCUGAGAAAUGGCCACUACGUCUAAGGAUGGCAGCAGGCGCGCAAAUUACCCACUCUCAACGCGAGGAGGUAGUGACGAGAA